CACACACACACACGUACAACAAUGUAAGGGGAGGAGGGGAAAUAAAGGGAGGGAUGAUGCAGGACAGACAUAUGGACACACACACACACACACACACACACACACACACACACACAGACACACACACACACACACACAUACACACAGUAAGCAGCAAACAGAAACAACAGAGGGGUGGGUAAUGCUGCACAUAACUAAUUUGUAGAAGUUUAGCAACAGACAGUAACCAAGUGGGCGGGACUUCACGUUGAAAAAUGACCAAGAUGACAAGAGGGCCAGGGCCUCCCUUGGUUCCCUCCCCCAACCCAGGCGAGCAAAGCUGUCCGUCAAGAGAGCGAGCAGAACUCAUCUUGGAGAGCGUAUGGCCCCCUAGUGGUUGUUUUGUGCACUCACAGCUGUUUUUUCUUCACUCACUGCUGUGUCUACACGUGUGCAUCAAUAUUAUUUGCUCGUGAGGAUGUUUUAUUGAGCUUGCGAGAUAUGGCACUAUUAUACCACCAUAGACCUCUGUCAACUUAAAACGAUCUACUCCAGACGCUGUCAGAGGAGGGCUGAGUCCAUCAUCAAGGAUGCCAGCCACCCAGCUCACUCCCUCUUCUCUCUGCUUCCCUCUGGUAAGCGCUACCGGAGCAUUAGCACACACACCACACCAUUCAGAGACAGUUUUUUCCACAAGCUGUCAGAAUCCUAAAUGGUCAGUGACUGAACAGUUCCUUCCCUUUACUGCCCACAUGUGCUGCCUUAUUUCUUUCAUGUACGCAAGCUGCCACCAGGGGGUGCGCAAGAUGAAAAAUGUAAUGGCGGUCUGGUGUAAUAUUACACAAUUACAGUGCUGUUUUUUUAAGUGG